UAAAAGUCAUUACGCGUAGGAGUGAACGAAAGAGUGAAGAGAGAGAUAGAAUGGAAGAGAGCCUCAAGGCACGCACACACAGAACACAGCCCUUGCUUCAGACGCGACUGAGGGAUCGCGUAAGAAGGACGGGAGUUGAGAACGUUCUCUUCUCUAUUUUUUCGGGGAGAUCGGUGCGCGCGUGUGUUGUCUAGAGCGGAGGUAGAAGUUAAUCCUCUCCGUUUACCUCUCUGCAUUUUCUCUGGGAAGAACAAAAAUAAAAAAAAGAGGGGAAAAAAAAGCACGUGGUAUUUUUUUUCUUUCUGUUGCCUCCGCUGCCGUUGUUUAUUCCUAUUCUCGGUUUCGUUUUUGUUCGCGUCAACGUUUUGUUCUCUUCUAUUUACAAGUGUAAAUAAACAAAUUGAACUGUCACAUGGCGCGAUACACCACUCAACGUCGUCUCAAGGUUGCUUCCGCGUGAAAAAUCUCCACAUUUUUUUGAAGUUAAGUAUGGAAUCGUCAUAAACAUUCACAUGACGCUUUUAAAGGUGAUUUCGUUGCUGUUGCUAGAGAAGGGACAAAACGAGAAUAAUGGAAUAGCUCAUCGCAUCACAUGCCAAGAAAGGUGAAUAAGCUUCGAGCGUCCAACUCCGGAUGCCAAUUGAGCAAACGAAAGCUUUCUUCCACCGAAAAGAAUUCCCACAGCAACAGAGAUCAGAAGAAGCAUCACUUCGAUGUUCGUGAACCGGAAGAGGAGAAUCAGAUUGUUCAGAGAGUGGUUGAGGAGGCAAUGGAUGCUGUGAUACGAGAAGAAGAACGAGACAUUGACGAAGACACGAGGCGAAUCCGGGAAGCAGAAGCAGCACUCCGAUCACUAUCCGGCGAUUUCGAACCGGACACCGGCAUGGACAUUUUCUCCGAAGACGUGCCAACGGAAAGACCUUUCUUUGAAAACCUCUUCGAGAAGAAGGAAGAAGUGAUACCCAAGACGGCCGAGGUGGUGACCAACUCCUGGAAAGAUGUGGUCACGCUGAGCGCGUCGUCCAGUUCUUGUUGCAGCAGUGAGCGGUCACCCCUCAGAUCGCCCAUUCUCUCGCCGGUGGUCAACCACGUGAUCAAAGAAGAGAGAAGGGACGAUAUGGAGACGACCCUGUACCAACAGCCCAAAGAGGAGGAAUAUUCACCUCUCAGAAACCACCAUUACACUCAACCACAGACGCCUGUCAGUUCUCCAGAAACGAAUUUCAAUGUUCCCACGUCGGUCGAUGCCAAACCUCAGAGCUGCACCAGUCAAUUCAGCUCGGCCGACGAGGUAUUCGACGAGUUCACACCCCUACCCUCCUCUCAGACGACGCAAGAGGAUAGCAGGAGUAUGGACAAUGUCGUCAAUGAAACAGAGCCUUACGACGUAGCUAGUUUACUCAAAAUUGAAGAAGAGUGUGCCAACAUCCAGUCACUGGUGGGAACAGACGGUUUCAACAUGCAAACAGACGCUUACUCCUCCAGAGAACAACCUCAGAUGCAUGAAAUGAAACCCAGCAUCCACCCCCAGCAGAUGCAGCAAUCCUACUGCAGGAUGGACGAGGGAUACGGUGGAGAAUACUAUCCCCCUUACAGUCCCGUCUCCAGGAGAUAUCUGCAACUGGACAAUAAACUUCAGGAAUCGGUCAAGAGACCGCUUUCCUUCGAUGAUCAUCUUCUGCCGUUACCGGAAGAUGACCAUCCUCUUGUGAUUGACGAAGGUCACCGGUACGGGGGUGGUCUGGAGGAAGAAGAGGACAGCAAUUCUCUGCAGUCUUGUAGUCAGCAGAGUGGGUCAACACCCCACUACAACAACUGUUGUGAGAUGAUGCCUUCUCCCCACUCGGACAUGAGUGAUGGAAGGAGGAUGCUGGAAUGUUCUCCUCAGGAUCCUUCUCUGAGAGACGGGAAAUGUCCUACUCCUGGUUGCAAUGGAUCAGGGCACGUCACCGGUCUCUACUCUCAUCACAGAAGCUUAUCGGGUUGCCCAAGAAAAGACAGAAUAACACCCGAAAUUUUAGCCUUACAUGAGACAAUAUUAAAUUUGUCGGGAUGUCCUAUAGCAGCAAUGGAGAAAAUGGUUCAAAAGGAACAGAGGGCCACGCCAAAACCUUCACCUCCUCUUGGUCAAAUUCCUUCUGGACCAUCCUCUCCAGAUUGUGUGAUGAGGACAUUGUGCUACGUGAAGCAGACCGACAUGCCAGACUACAGGUAUCCCAUGUACGGACAACCCGUUAAAUCACCCAUGGAGAAGUACGGACGAUCACAGACUCCAGACUUCAACUCUUACGACAGGUUCUACGGACGACCUAUGCCAAAAAUUAAAUCUGAAUCACCAGAUGGACAGAACAUGCUUAACAAACAAAAUGUUCCAAAUUUAUGUGGACAGAGGAAUUCCGUUGUGGUGUCAUCCAAACAAAUGUACUCUCCACCUUCGACGGGGGAAACGGAACAAACGGAACCCGUCGAUUUCUCAACGGGUCACGACGACCGGGUGAGGCCGGAUUUACCUCACAUGUUACCGAAUGCAACCCCUUCACCAUCACCUCGAUCUCCGGGAAGAUUGCCCCCCCUGGAUGCUUCCCCUCAUCUGCCUCACCCACCCUAUUCACAAAGUCCUCUUGGACCCCCAGGACACCAUCUCAUGCCCUCACCACCCGAAUAUGUACCCGAAAAGUGCAUCCAACCAAAAAUGAAAAGCAGAGGAAGAGAAGGACGGGAACUGAUUCAUUGUCCCACCCCAGGCUGUGAUGGAAUGGGGCAUGUAUCCGGUAACUACGCAACACACCGAAGUCUCUCCGGCUGCCCGCAUGCUGACCGUUCGCAGAUACAUGCACAGCAUCAAGAUUUAAAACCAAACUUGUGCUACAAUGAAAAACCAACUGGUCAGUGGUACAGAUACCCAAAUAAUCAACAUGAUAAAUCCAUGUCUCCUAUUCUCAGGUGCCCUACUCCGGGAUGUGAUGGAUCUGGUCAUGUGACUGGGAAUUAUUCUUCGCACCGCAGCCUGUCCGGUUGUCCGAGAGCUAACAAGCCAAAGAAAAUGGUGAACAGGGACGAGAAAAACGAUUCAGAGCCUCUCAGAUGCCCAAUACCUGGGUGUGAUGGUUCUGGACACGUCACCGGUAAAUUCCAGUCGCACAGAAGUAACUGGUGUGGUGGGGGAUCAUUCCAGCAGCAUCCAAGCCCUGGAAGACGAGAUAAUGGAACUCCAGGAGUACAAUGCCCAGGUGGAAUCGGAGAUGCAUCAGUUGCAAACAGAUAUCACCCAAAUGGAGGAACCGAUAUCGAGAAUUUUGGACCGAGAGAGUCUCCAUUCCACUUCUCAGAAGACAAAUCAACUGACCGAAUACUACGCAUCCCUUCGGAACAAUUUCAUCAACCUCCUGGACCACGUCCGGUUGCCCAACUUAGACGAGAAACCUAUCCCGGACAAUUUCGACACCUACUUGAACAGACUUCAGUCUCUCUGUGCGGACAACUCUAAAGAUGAAGGAUCAUCAUCCAAACAAUCUUCUCUGCAAGAAUUCAAUUCUGCACCCAUGCAACAAGCCAGCCGUUGGGUCAGAUCAUGAGACUCACCCCUAUUCUACCUCCCUUCGUACUCAACGAGUUGCCUAAAAAGGUUUUUGUAAAUAUCUACAAGAUAUAUAUAUAUAUAUAUACAUAUUGAAGCAAAACUAUACGUGUAUUUCCAGAAAAAGAACUUUGUCAAAAGACACUUUGAAAAAUGGCACUUAUAUAGAAAAAAAAUAACCUAUAAAAUUGUACAUAAGAAGAAACUGACCAUUGUGAGUGUUUUUAAUUUUUUUUUUAAAUAAUAAUUUUUCGACCCCCAGGUAUCAAAUGACAACGAGUUCAACAGUGGUCGAUAGAUGAAAAAAGCUCAUUUAUUCCAAAGCUCAGCACACUUCAUGCUAAUCGUUGAAACUGAAAUUAGACUGUAGCAAAGGAAAAAAAUAUUAGUUCGCUACCGAUUGUUAGAGUUAAAUUACAGUCUUUCAGAACGAAAAGAUAUUUAUCAAAAAGAAAUCAAAGCAAAAUAUACUUAACCCUAAAGCAUUCCAAAACAAAAAUGGCUACGUGAAAAAAUUCAAGAUGAGUAGCCAGAUUUAAAUACGUACAUAUGGAAGAUAUUAAUAACUUUCUUCUGAGCCCAAAAGAGAGAAUUCCAUAGACUGGAGAAAAGACGGCGGAGUGGUAAAAAAAGAGAACAUUUUGUUGCACGUCGAAAAUGGCGUCAAGAAUCUGGGAUCUGUGUUAGUUCUUGUAAAUAGCUUCAUCCAACAAAAAAAAAAAAAAAAAAGACUUGAACGUAGUUCAACUAAUUAUGAUGUGAUUAUUUCACCACCUGCAGGGAUUUAGACCCAUUUAGUGAUUUGUAAAUCACUUUUGGUUGUUGGCGCUUUUUUUAAGUGUGUCCAUGUUAUUGAUGAACUGUAUAGCGUUUAGAACGAUUUUCUCAACACUGAAAAAAAAAUGUUAUGUUUUUCUCACUACAUUGCAUCCAUUCACGAAUCAUACAUAACACAUUCCUUCUCGCGAUUCUAUUUUUAUGAACUAUUUGAAGAAUGAAAAAAAGAAUUGUUUUCACAUUAGCGUGCUCUAAUGUUUCCAAUUGUUUAUGUACAUUAAGGUGAGAAAACUCAUUAUUGAAAAAUCCACUUUCCAUAAAAUUAUGAAGCAUUGUUCAUGUUUAAGAAAUUGCAACCGAGACGUAAAUAGUAAAACAAAUUUAAAAAACUA
rnacentral:misc_RNA from 1 species